UACGUAGGUGGCAAGCGUUGUCCGGAUUUACUGGGCGUAAAGCGAACGCAGGCGGACCUUUAAGUAGGAAGUGAAAGGUUGGAGCUCAACUCUAACACUGCUCCCUAUACUGGAGGUCUUGAGUGCCGGAGAGGAAGACGGAACAAGUUGUGUAGCGGUGAAAUGCGUUGAUAUAACUUGGAACACCAAUGGUCGAAAGCAGUCUUCUGGACGGAUACUGACGCU
rnacentral:rRNA from 1 species